UGGCAACUGACCCAGGUUCCAGACCAACCACUGGCAGAAGCCAUGGAAAAGGCCGUCCUCACCCUGCAAACAUCACGGUAUGUCCAAUGACAGUCCCCCCCAACAUCCUUCUCCACACAGGUGCCCAACGGAGACUACACAAGGACAGCUUGACACGCCUACUUCUGAGUUACAGGAGCUGCUGACUCUAGCAAAAGAGCUCCUUGAAAAAAACUCAACUGAGGAGUCUGAAGCUUUGUUCAUCUCA